UGAGUAAUGUCUGGGAAACUGCCUGAUGGAGGGGGAUAACUACUGGAAACGGUAGCUAAUACCGCAUAACGUCGCAAGACCAAAGAGGGGGACCUUCGGGCCUCUUGCCAUCAGAUGUGCCCAGAUGGGAUUAGCUAGUAGGUGGGGUAAUGGCUCACCUAGGCGACGAUCCCUAGCUGGUCUGAGAGGAUGACCAGCCACACUGGAACUGAGACACGGUCCAGACUCCUACGGGAGGCAGCAGUGGGGAAUAUUGCACAACGGGCGCAAGCCUGAUGCAGCCAUGCCGCGUGUGUGAAGAAGGCCUUCGGGUUGUAAAGCACUUUCAGCGAGGAGGAAGGUGGUGAGCUUAAUACGCUCAUCAAUUGACGUUACUCGCAGAAGAAGCACCGGCUAACUCCGUGCCAGCAGCCGCGGUAAUACGGAGGGUGCAAGCGUUAAUCGGAAUUACUGGGCGUAAAGUGCACGCAGGCGGUUUGUUAAGUCAGAUGUGAAAUCCCCGGG
rnacentral:rRNA from 1 species